rnacentral:rRNA from 1 species
UACGUAGGCAGCGAGCGUUGUUCGGAAUUACUGGGCGUAAAGAGUGUGUAGGCGGUGCUCUAAGUUCGGUGUGAAAUCUCCCGGCUUAACUGGGAGGGUGCGCCGGAAACUGGAGUGCUCGAGCGUGGGAGAGGAAAGCGGAAUUCCUGGUGUAGCGGUGAAAUGCGUAGAUAUCAGGAGGAACACCGAUGGCGAAGGCAGGUCUCUGGGCAUUAACUGACGCUGAGGAGCGAAAGCAUGGGGAGCGAACAGG